CACGCACACACACACACACACACUCAUACACACGCGCUCUCUCGCUCUCUCUCUCUCCUCCAAAACACAGCUCUGUCCUUCCCUCUUCCCCCCUUCACUUCCCAGAGGGAACCUGCCCAUCCCAGAAGCUCUGUGCUGUGGACAGCAGGAAGGACGGGCUGAGGGAGGAAGGGCGACUCCCAUACCUCACUGGCCACCAGAGAAGACUGUGACAGGGUCCAAGAUGACCCCAGUGACCAUCCUAUGCUGCUGUCCCCACGCUGGUUGCUAGAAACCAACAGGGUCACCAAGAGAACAAUUUGUCUGAGAUUCCCCAAGUUCUACAAGGCCAAACUGAGCUCCCUCUGAGCUCCAGAAGCAGAGGACGUUGGGAUGGAUGCCUGCUGCCUCACGUAAACGGAAGGACCAAGCCCCAGCUGGCUGUGUGACCUGGGGUGCAGCGCUCCACUUCUCUGAGCCUCGGUCUCCUCUUCUGCCAAGUGUGAACCACGGCAACAGUUGUGAGGACACCAGUCAGCAAGGAUCACAGGAUAUUGGUGUGCACUCAGCUGAGGACAAGUCUUCACAUACAUUGUUCUCACUCGCUGUACACAGCAGCAGGAGAUGUGGCCUCGUUAGCAUCUGCUUUUGGGGGAGGGGGUGGCUGGGGAUUGAACCCAGGGCCUUUGCACUGAGCUGCAUCCCAACACUUUUUUUGUUUGUUUGUUUGUUUUGUUUUCAAGGCAGGAUCUUGCUAAGCUACCCAGGCUGGGCUCGAACUUGCGAUCCUCCUGACUCAGCCUCCCAAAGGGCUGGGAUUAUAGAAGUGCUCUACCACAGCCAACCCUGUCAUCUGCAUUUGGAGUUCCCCCAAAUAGCAUGACUUGUAAGUGGCUAGCAGAAGGUUGCAAUACUGCUCUUUGGCUGAACUCGUCACAGAUUUCCAGCUUCUCCCCAUGCUCCAUCCUAACCUCCAACACCACUGUCUUCACCUAGGGCCUCAUCUUUUAAAUUCAUCUGAUAAAAAUUAUGAAUAACA
rnacentral:lncRNA from 1 species